AGUUACUCCCCGUUUUCACCAGUGUAGGGGAAGUCAGAGACUGCUCUGAUGUGUUUCAGAUUAUGCCUUGCCUUUAUAAGAAAAAUGAUUUCACAGCUCAAGAUCUGAGCCUGUGCUGCACAAGGAGAGACACAUCACUUCAAAGAACUCCAGCUGAUACAAAGCCUGAAAAUUUCGAAGGCAUUACUCCUUUGAAGUCCUGCAAGACAUGAACCAGAAAGCAAUGAACUGUGAACAACUGAGAAUAAUGGAGAGUUCCGCUUCAAAACUGAGAGCAGGUAAACUCAAACUGAUACACACAGAUGGACCUUUGAUUCUCUGCAGUGCCCCUUGGUACUCCACGGACUAGGCCCAAGCAUAAGGAUCUACUGAUGUGGCUGAGGUUGCAGAAUCAGGGCCUGAAUAUUUUUUGCAUGUGGCUGCCCAGCUGAAGAAAGUACAAGCUAUCGUAGCGAAUCUGUAUAAUGUAUAUUUAUUAAAACAUUGAACACAACAAACACUGGCAAUGAAAAUUACAUGCUCUUUAUAAACAUUUUUAUUUUAAACUAGAUUUUGUGUGGUGCUGCUGCAGGAGCAGCAGCUACAACAUAAUCAGCCUGGUAAUAAGAGAAGAAAGUCAUUUCUUACAAUGAUCCGAGAGCCCUUUGUUAAUGUCAAGGAUAAUUUGGGCUGACUGAUUUGAUUGCUGCUCUUUUACUGCAAGAGAUCUCAAUAAAUGAAACUGCUUGCAUGGAUAAUUUAGGCUUAUAUGGUUGCUAGCAAGCUAAUGAUGCAAACACAGCUGAAAUAAAAUUUUCAUUUUGUACUGAUGGUUUAAAAACACACACACACACACACACACAGACACACACCCACACACAUAUCAAAAACAGGAAAAAAAAAGCACUUAAACACCUGCCAUAUGGACUACGUCAGAACAGUGAAUGGUAAUCUGCUGCUCUCUGAGUGGAAAGUGGUUUAUGU